GCAUCGAUGAAGAACGCAGCAAACUGCGAUAAGUAAUGUGAAUUGCAGAAUUUAGUGAAUCAUCGAAUCUUUGAACGCAAAUGACGCUCUUGGGCAUUCCCAGGAGCACGUUUGUCUGAGCGUCGUUUCUCACAUCCAACUUCUCUAGUAGAGCAGCUGGGCCAUGAGGUGUCCCUUUGCCGUAACAAGCGAACGGUCCCUUGAAGUAGAGCGAUCCCGAGUCGUGCGGAAGCCCCUCGUGGCCCGUCCCUCUCGGUGUGGUAGAGAUAUCUCACCGAGGGAACGAGCUUCGAAGGAACCGACGCCUUCUCUUACGGAACGACUGGAAAGGCACGCCCGGCCGGUGCGAAAGCAUCGAUCGAUCGCGUGGACCAACCAAGACCUCAGAUCAAGCGAGACUACCCGCUGAACUUAAGCAUAUCAAUAAGCGGAGGA
rnacentral:rRNA from 1 species